GCUGUAAACACGGGUUCUCGUCCGAUCACCGAAGUUAAGCACCAUCGGACACUACCAGUACUUAGAAGAUUGACCGCCUGAGAACUCCAUGUACAGU